AAUUAUCUUCAUCACGUUGAGAGCACCAGUUCUCGUCCGAUCACCGAAGUUAAGCAACGUCGAGCCUAGUGAGGACUUAGAUGGGUGACCGCUUGGGAAACCUAGGUGAUGUAAGCG
rnacentral:rRNA from 1 species